rnacentral:lncRNA from 1 species
CAUUGAUCUGAAAGUACAACAAGAUAGUCAUAUGAUGGAUGAUAAUUCUAAUACAUAAUAGACACCAGACGUGUGGUGCCGCCAAUACCUAUUUGGAAUAUUAGAUUCAUUAUCAUGUACCUUAAUGGGAGGCUAUGAUCUAGUUAACCCCAUAACUAGCUCAUUUUAUGGAUCUAAUAAUUUAGAAGAUUUAAUUAAUAUAUUUUAUAAGACAUCAAU